ACGGAUAAGGUUCCUUGAACCUCGAUGGUGCCUGAUCUUGUUUUGCUGGGAAAUUCUCUACAGGGAGGUUAAAAACAGCGCAGGCAGGGGAAAUUGAGUCUGGCCUCGGGACAGAUAAUGAGGCGUGCACGUGUAAGGGGGGAGGACGGAGUCGUGAUGAACAAAGGGCCAUGCUCCGGGACAUCAGGACGUGACACCACCGCGAGCGAGCCGCUGGGCAGGAAGCAGGGGCAGCGCUCAACUUCCUGUGGAGACAGGAAAGGAGACAGGACCCGGCGUACUGCUGGAGUCUGCGUGUGUCAUCCACCACACACUGCUGACAGCCUGAAAAUUACAGUGAACAGUCUAGAAAUACUAGGCACAGCUGCGGUAAUAACUUAUUACUUAUUACUUGAAGCUUUUUCGUAUUAAUCAUAUUUCUUUGUCUUUUGUUAAUAUUACUACUACUACUCCCACUACAACUGCUACUACUAAUAAUAAUUAUCAUCAUCAUCAUAAUCCUCAUUAGCUUAAUAAUCAAUUUUAUCACCAUAAUCAUCAUCAUUACCAUCAUGAUGAAGUUGCUAUUGACAGUAAAUGAUUCAUAAUUAGUAUUACUGCAAUAAGAAUAAUAGUGUUUGUUCUGAGUACUGAUACUGAGUACCAGGUCAUAUUCACAAACUUUGCUGGAAUUAUGGAUCCAAUUAUAAUACAUUAUACAUGUAUUCAAUUAUAUAUUACGACUAAAUCCCUUUGAAAGCACUGACUGAGCUGACUUGCAAUAAAGCAUCUGUGGGUAUUGAUGCCAA